ensembl:lncRNA
CUGCCAGAGACCCGAUUCUAACUCUUCAGUUAUUUUAGUCCGCGUUUCUCAGAAAAGAAACUCCACACGUUUUUGAUAUUUCUGUCAUCUUGGCUUGUACACAUUCAGUUGGGCAAACUUUUUAAUAGAAAAAUGGCAGCAGUAAAAGGUUCAAAACAUCAGUCACUCAUUGAAAGGGAGAAGCUCAUUUUUAUUUUUAAUAAUUACUCUAAAUAAUAUUAAUAUUGUUAUUAUUAUAUUAUUAAUAAUAAUUGAUCACAACAAAUGAAUUCCCAACUAAAUAACAAUAACAAAAACAAGCAAAUGAAUAUUUCUUGGCUAUUUGUAAGCCAAGUGCAAAAUGUAUAAGGAAGCUACUGUGUCUGUGUGAAUAACCUUGGUCUGCUGUGUUUUUGGCUGACACUUUCAUUCUAUCCACAGGAAAACACUAACCUUCUAUUUUUUGAAUAUUUAAUAUUUCUAUUUUAAGCCAAAUCACUGAUAAAACAAAAGUGCUUUAGAAUGGUAUGUAUUUGGUGGCAAGGUACGUAUUUUGUGGAUUUUCAGUAUUCUUACUUCAAAGAUAAGUGAACUUUCAUGGGUUUUAUUUAAUUCCUAGUGUCCCAGGUGUAAUUGUAAAUUUGAAGUUUUAUAUUGGUGGACUAGAUAUAUAUUAUUUAAAUGCAAGAAUGUGUGUUAGUAGAUGCCACAUAACCAUGGACCCUUUUUGCAAACUGUGAUGAUGUAUUUCCAGAGUUAUUAGCAUUGUAAAUCUAGCAAUUUUUAUAUUUUCAUUUUUUUUUAAAUUAAUGUGCAUUUAUAACACUAUAAAUUAUUGGCAAAUUACAGAAAAAUGGUUAAUGCUGCUUUUUAGUACAACGGCUGAGGAAGUGACAGCUAAUUUUACUAUCUUCUGACCAACGUAACCGAUCUUCUAAUAUUUUUUUCCUGUUUGGCAAAGUGUAGAAAUUUUUCUAUUGAUGACUCAUGAGAUGAGAUUUGUUGUAAUUUCCAUUCACCACUAUAUACUUUAGCUUCUGAGAACCGUGGAAAUGUGAAAUAGUUCCAUACUAUCUGGGCCCAAAAAGCAUUUUUCUUCAUUGAUGGCCAUUGAAAAUUAUGUGAAUAGUCUGUAUAUCUCCAUUAUUUCAUUAUAGGCAAUGUUUACAUGUGCCUGUUUUUUUCUGGAAAGCUUUUAUAAGCGUAAUAUGGACAUAUUGUUCUCUGCUGAUUUUCGUGCCGACUCCCAAGGAUUUGGGAUUGUUUGCGUUCUUUUGUUGCCAUCAGCUAAUCGAGUCAAGAGUGAUUAGACACAAGGCAUUUUGGGGCUCAAGUGAUUGGUCCAAAAAAUAAGUAGCCGAACUGAGCACCCGUGAUCAAAGAUGGCAGAUUUCAAAUUGAUUUUAAGAUUUGAGACGGCAGAUUUCAAAUUGCAUACAUUUUGGGAAUCUUGUGCCAGCUGAGAUGAAUGGAAAUGCUAAUGGAUCCUGGUAUUUUCGGACAAUUUUAAUUGGCUCACUUCACAGACAGAGAGCAAGACAGGCAGACAGGGAUAACUGAGUCAAGAGUAGCUUUUAGAGAAGCAAAUACAUUAAGGGAUUAUGGUAUAAAAAGUACAAGAUGUAACUGGGAAAAUUAUGGAAGAGGAAGUAAUUGAGAGAGCAAUGACGGACGUGCGUGCCUGCUUUUUCUAGUCGUUUCCAGAGGCGCUUGGACUGUUGCUGGGGGCAACCUCUGUUCGGUCACCUUACGGCAGGGAGGAAGCAUUGUGUGAGCAAAGGUUUCUAUUAAUAGGAACAGCGGGAGAGAGGACAAGAGCGUACAGGCGUGUGAGUGUGUGUGUGAGCAAGCAUACAUGCAUGUGUGAGUGAGCGAGCGCAAGGUACGCGAGGAGGAGGAAGCAGAUUGUGAGAAUGAGACAGUUACUAGAGAGAGCUGGAUGGAGGGAUGCAGGGAGAGCGUAGCGGAGGAGGGAGCGAUGGCGUGAUGACGCUGUGCGUGGCGUCAGAGCGAUAAGAAUAGAGCCGGUGCGUGCAGGGCUGCUGAGACAUCGCUUUUAAUACCCACAGCUACUAUCUUGCUCCCUGAACAAUGUGUGUGUGUGUGUGUGUGUGUGUGUGUGUGUGUGUGUGUGUGUGUGUGUUUGUGGAGGUGUAGGUAUACGCACAGAAAAAAUUUAAUAUAGAAAUGCCCCGUGAUGAAAGAUUAUGACUUGUACUUUUAUAUUUGGAAGCAAAAAACGUUCUCAACUUUUAAAGACAGAGCAGAGAUACAUAAAUGUUCCAAAGAGGGGAAAAAGCUAGAGGAGGAAGUACAACUCAUGCUGUAUGAAUAAAAAAAAACAAUAAUAAAAAAUGCAAUUAGGCUCCUUGUUACAAGCAUGAGCAUAAUAACGAUCCCCUGGUUUAAAUGCAUUAACAGUCUUGCUCGACUUCUAAAAGCAUAUGAAAGCAUAUAUGACUGUUCAGAAUCUAUGAUGCCUGAACAAUAAUUAAAGCAAUUAACAACUCAAAAUUUGAAUCCAAUUAAUUACAUUAUAUUUUGAUAAAUCACAUAUCAAAUUUGCUGGCACUAAAUCACACUAAAUUAACAUUAAAUUGACAGCUUUGCAAAUGAAAUGAGUAAAUGUGCUGUAAUUCUUUUAAAAUAUAGAUUUAAACGCAUUGUUCUUUUCAUCAUUUACCUUCAUUUCAAAUCCAAAUCACAUUAAAGAAGAUAUUUAGAAGAACGUCCAAGCUUCUCUUUUCCUUAUAAUGAAAGUGAAUGGUGAUCACGACUGUCCCUGGUCUCCAUUCACUUUCAUUAAAACAGCAGCUUGGGCAUCCUGCUAAAUAUCUACUUUUGUGUUCCACAGAAGAAAUAAAGUCAUAUGGGUUUGGAAUGACAUGGGAGUGAGUAAAUGAUGACAGAAUGUUCAUUUACAAGUAAAAUAUUCUUGUUAAAAUAUCUCAAAUGUUUUGCUUAUUAUGAAUGCAAAUACACACACACAUUAUGUUAGGGUGGGGCGAGGGGGAUGAAAUGCGAAAGCCUGUUUUGUAUCCAGGCGGUAAUGACCUAUAUGGUCAUAGACCCCAACUGAUGGAGCGGUGAGUGGGUGGAUGACGUCAGAGUGGUCUUGGCCUAGCAGGUCUGUCCCGCUGAGGUGUCGGGUCUGGACAGGCUCACACAGCCAACAGCUUGAGCAGCCACUGCACAAAGACCAGAGAAAUGAUUCAGGGAACGUGCUGUGCACAUUAUUAAUGAAUAUACCCUUAUAUUAUACAUACAUGGUAUAGAUAUUUACGUAACCAUAAACUGAUAGUUCUCCUAAAAAUCUUCAUUCUAUCAUCAUUUAUUCACACUUAUGUUAAUCCAAAUAUGUGCGACUUUCUUUCUUCAGUGGAACAUAAAAGAUAUUUUGGUGUCCACUUACUUUCCUAUUCAAAACAUUUCUCAAAAUAUUAUCUUUUGCGUUCUAAAGAUGAAAUAAAGUUAUACAGCUUCGAAAAUUACUAGAGGGUGAGUAAAUGGCAGAAUUUUCAUUUUUGUUCAAAAUAUCUCUUUAAAUGUCACUAUUCAAACCUUUUCUAGGUACUGAAGAAAUUGAAAUAGGAGUUUUUGUGGCUUUUUAAUUUUUAUUUAUUUAUUUAGUUAAUUAUUUCUAAUUUAAUUUAAUAUUAAUAAUAUACAUUUAAAAUGACACUUCUUGUUUCCUGUACCUGUAAUUGCCUUUAACUUUAAUCUGGAAGAAACUUCUUGAGUAUAGCUGGACAUACAGUGAUGAUUUUUAAAAGUGUUAUUCAUUUUAACAUCAGUCAGAGGGAAAUCAGAGAUGGCUGUGGGAGAGACUGAAAUAAAUGAGCUGAUUUUGACAAACAAGAUCUUACAGCAUUGAUGCCCUUGUCCUUCACCUCUGGGUUGGUCUCCGACUCAAAAAGAUCUGAGGAGAAACAAUUGGCAAGCUGAAUUCUUCCAGUUAACAUGUUUACAGACUCUCACAUCUAUGCUAAUGACGUCAUGAACAUCUCGGGAGCUUUUAGGCAUGCCAGUAAACAGCAUGAUGAGAUGCAGUGAUACGCAAUUAUAUUUACUUUCACACUAGAAGCAGGUCGUGAUAACCAUAUGUAAAUGGGCAUAACAAAUACAAUCUAACAAAAAAUAAUAAAUAACUGGCUACCUAUAAUCAGAUGACACUUUAAAAGGUACACCUUUCUGAUAAUGAGUAACACAAAUCAUAAUUGAUAGCAUGAGUAGCGUUUUUGCAUUAACAGAUGAUUUUCUCUCCAACCACUUUUGAAUUCAUACAAAGAGAUGUAUCUGGUUCAUUUAUCAUUUUGCAGUGUGUGUGUGUGAUAUAAAGAGCGGCAUUUCAGGGCUUAAAGGAAUAGUUCACACAAAAAUGAAAAUUUACUGAAAAUUUAAUCAGGUCAUUCAAGAUGUAGAUGAGUUUGUUUCCUAAUCGGAACAAAUUUGGAGAAAUUUAGCAUUACAUCAACAGUUCCUCUGCAGUGAAUGGGUGC